UCAUCUCCCCAGCAUUGUCAGUUUGGACACCUUCGCACAUGCGCACAGAGCACUCAAUCUGACACCCCUCGCCGGGGCCAAAAAAACUUUGCAAUGUAUUCAUCAUCCUCAUCGUCGCGCCGCCGCCGCCGCCGCCGCCGCCUCGGCGCGGGAUUGGGGGGCUCUCCUCGGCCUUCUCCGUCUUCGUCUCACUUAUCUCUCCCCCCCUCUCCCCCCCUUUUCAGCGCAGCUCGGAACUGGCCCUUUAAGAAAACAUUCCGUGUUCGGCGCUCCCGCCCGGGGCCCGCACCCCGGACACUUUAAAAGGACCCAGGUGGCCCCGGAGGCGAGGUGACUAUCCCCCCACCCUGCCCCUGCGUCGCGGCGCGUCGUGCUCUGCUCCCGCCCCAGCCGGGGCCGAAGAUGGGGCGGCGGCUGCGGUUUUCCACACGACUUCCUUGGAUCUCCGGGCACACGCGCCGAUAGUUCGGACGCGAGUCCGGGCUGGUUUUGCUCCGUUUUACUGCGUUUUAUUACUAAUUUAAAAGCUUUGCGUUCCCUGUCGCCCCGGCCCGCUUUUCUCCUGCACUCUCCCCUCGGCCCCCGUCCCCGCCCCGCGAUCGCUGGAGGGGGCGUCGGGGAUCGCGCGCCAGAACCCGGCUCCUCCGAAGCCCCCUCCGGGCCCCACCGCCCCCCUCGGGCCUCCCGGCCCCCGCCUCCUCCCCUUCGCCCCCACCCAACGGCUGCUGCUUCGGGCUUCGCGGCUCAAAAACAACAGCGGAGGCGCCGCCAGCUCCGCGCUCCGCCACUGCCCAGGCCGGCGGGCGGCACUCGGACCCGCCGCCCUCGGUCCCUCGCGAGGCCGCGGAGGCCAACACGCCUCGCACCGGGGGACAGCGCGGGGGCAGCCGUCCAAACACCAGGCGUCCUCGGCUGGUCGUCCCAGGGCGCCCGCACCUCUCCGCCCGCGCUCUCCUGCCGCCGCGCCCCCAAGCCCCCAAACUCCGAGGCGCUGCGGCGGAGGGGCCGGGCUGAGCGCAGGCAGGGUGGCCCCGGCCCAGGAGCCUGACGGCCUGAGUGCGGAUUUCUCAUCUGAGUAUCUGGGAAUCGAGAAUGAAUUGGAAGGAAACCGAGGCGCUGCCCUGGCCGGGUUGCUGCCCCGCACCCUUCUGGAGCACCGAAGUCCUGCCCGGCAACGGGACUUGGAGCUGCCGCAGAGUCAGCCUGAGCCUGAGGCAGGGGUCGCGCCCGCGAUGCGGGGUCUCUCCACCGCCCCGCGAGGCUCCUGGCCGUGCCCUCCCUGCCCUUUGUUGUGUAAUGAGACCUGUGGCGGCUCCACUGAGACCCACACGUGCAACUCCGCGCCUCCGCGUUAAAGGAGGUGAAACGCAGCAGCCCUGAGAAACCCCGAGACCCCGGUGUCCUAGCAGAAGCAGCCCGGAUAGGGAGGGGCGCGGGGCCGGCGCUACCCCAGAGGAAAAGCCCAGCGGAGCCGGGUUGGGCAGGAGCCGGCGGCGGCGGUGCGCUGGGCCUUCUGCCUUGGAUCCUCCGCAGUCGGCACCGCUUCCCUGCUCAGAUUCGAACCCAGAUGCGGCUCCCAAGGCUCCCACGGCUCCAGGGUGCCCAGUCUUGCAGCCAGCUCGCCGCCCGAGCCCCGGAUGGAGGAAGCGCUCACUGGCCGCUACCUCUGCUGUUUCUGGCACCAGGCCUGGGAAACCUUCCUGUGCCCCAGAAUACUUGGAGAGGACAGGACACAGGUCCCAGUUGUGGCCCAGUGGCGGCAAGGUUCCGUUCCCUGGACUGCUCCAAGAUGGGCAGCUUCCGGGGACCGGCUUGCCAUCGGCAGGCACGAGGCUGUGGCCACCCCAGUGGAGACCCUCUGCCCGGCUUUGUGUCCUGGCAUCCCCACCAGGGUGUCCAGCUCUCCUGCGCAGAUGUCGGGAGUAUCUGGAGGCCCCAUGGGCCCUUCAAGGGCCCAAUCCGGAGUGCUUUGUUUUGUUUUAAGAGAUUGAGACUGUGAACCUGAACUUCCUUGAUCUUCUCCCGUUGGGCCCAGGAGGGAGCCGAAUCCAGGCCCAACCGGGCUCACUGAGAAGGUGCAGGAAGUCCCCAACGACUCCUACUCGUGUGCGGCCCAUACCGGGCCAGGAAGCUGCAGUGGCUGAGCCGCUGGGUGUCUGCAACGGGGAGCGCCCACGCCGCUGGGGGCAAUAAACGGAAUCGGUUUCCCACCCUUUCCCUCUUGAUCUAAGAACCUUUAAAAAUCUGCCAACGAAUGCCGUUGCCUGGAUGCGCUGCGUGUGACCUUCAGCCGUGUGUUCACGCGCGCCCGCAGCCGUGGAGUGGCGGUCCCUCCUGCCGCCCGCAACCCCAGGGCCGCCGGUCUGCCCACACCGGGAGCAACUUCGUUACCCACAGCGCCCGCGUCCUGCGGCUCGCGCGGAACUGCGCGCGGGAAGAUGGCAGAGGGAUGCUCCAGAACGCUGCUUGCGUAGACGCUGCCGCUGCCUUCAGAUCCCAAUUCGGCCGCGCGCGGUUGGGGCCCUGGCAGCAACGAAAAUGGCGAGCCUCGUAGCCUUCCGGGCCCGGCGGCCGCAUUCCGGGAGUCGCCAGGAGGCGCUGCAAGGCUCAGUGCUCCUGGAGCUUCGAGUCUACGAUGGGAAAACUGAUGCUCAGAGGCUUGAGCAACCUAGGCAAGGACCUGUCCUUAGAGGCAGAAGCAGGACUCAGAGGAAGAGCCCUCUGACCACAAAGCCCCAGGGUCCAGAAAGACUCAGCCACUGGAGUCUGUAUUUCCUGAGUCCGCCUCUCACUGCUGGAGCUGUUUAUCAUCGCUCCAACUUUCACUAAAAAGGAAAAACUAUCACUUAAACAAAGCCAUUGAAACCCCAGCAUCAUAUGUGGAUUUUUUUUAACAUAAAUAAAUCAUACAAACUAAGA